rnacentral:rRNA from 1 species
UACGUAGGGUGCGAGCGUUGUCCGGAAUUAUUGGACGUAAAGAGCUCGUAGGCGGUCUGUCGCGUCGGUCGUGAAAACCUGCAGCUUAACUGCGGGCUUGCGGUUGAUACGGGCGGGCUAGAGUUCGGUAGGGGAGACUGGAAUUCCUGGUGUAGCGGUGAAAUGCGCAGAUAUCGGGAGGAACACCGGUGGCGAAGGCGGUUCUCUGGGCCUGUACUGACGCUGAGGAGCGAAAGCGUGGGGAGCGAACAGG